UACGGGGGGGGCAAGCGUUGUUCGGAAUUACUGGGCGUAAAGGGUUUGUAGGUGGCCGGCUAAGUCAGACGUGAAAUCCCUCAGCUUAACUGGGGAACUGCGUCUGAAACUGAUCGGCUCGAGUGCAGGAGAGGAACGCGGAAUUCCAGGUGUAGCGGUGAAAUGCGUAGAUAUCUGGAGGAACACCGGUGGCGAAGGCGGCGUUCUGGACUGCAACUGACACUGUAAAACGAAAGCCAGGGGAGCAAACAGG
rnacentral:rRNA from 1 species